rnacentral:misc_RNA from 1 species
GAUGAAGAACGCAGCGAAAUGCGAUAAUUAAUGUGAAUUGCAGAAUUCCAUGAAUCAUCGAGUCUUUGAACGCACAUUGCGCCUCAUGGCAUUCCGUGAGGCAUGCCCAUCUCAGCGUUACAAAAUAUUCUCAAAUUUUAGUUUUGUGCUAAAAUUUGGAUCAUGUCAAGGAAGCUAUUACUAUUAUUGUGAUCGCUCUUUGGAAAUUGAUAGGUCUUUGAGUUGCUACUCAUAGAACGUGAUGAAUCUUUCUUCGUUCUAUUGUAAUUCACUCAGGUAGUCCUAAAACUUGUAUGCCUGUGGCAUAUCUUGUAAUUUGACCUGAGAUUGGGUAGGAAUACCCGCUGAACUUAAGCAUAUCAAUAAGCGGAGGA